AACGAACGCUGGCGGCAGGCUUAACACAUGCAAGUCGAACGCCCCGCAAGGGGAGUGGCAGACGGGUGAGUAACACGUGGGAACGUACCCUUUUCUACGGAAUAACCCAGGGAAACUUGGACUAAUACCGUAUGUGCCCUUCGGGGGGAAAGAUUUAUCGGAAAAGGAUCGGCCCGCGUUGGAUUAGCUAGUUGGUGGGG
rnacentral:rRNA from 1 species